UUGAUUACAUUAACAACCGUUGGCUAUGGUGAUAAAGUUCCGGAAUCUGUCUUUGGUCACGUGAUCGGAACAAUGGCCGCCUUUUCUGGAAUUUUGAUUGGUACAAUACCGAUCGUUGUGAUUUCAAGUAAUUACGGAAAUUUCUACAGUUGCUACAAAGUGCGAGAUAAACACAAGAAAUCUAGUCUUCCCGUUAAGAAUUUUGAAGAAGGAAAAGCUUCACAAAAAAAGAAACAGAAAUGUAACAAUUCAGGUGGAAUUGGGUGUUCCAAAUUUUAAUGGCAAGUAGGAAAGCGUGGACAGCUGUUCUUUAUCCACACGAAAGAAUCUAUUCGAAACAAGAAAAUAAUCCUUCAAGAUUUAAGCUGUUAUAAACUGUUGGGAAGAUGUCUCGUCAGUUUUUGCAAUGGUUUUGUAUUCUUAGUAAUUCUUUAAACAUGUUUUAAAAAAACAACUGUUCAGAUAAAAUUCCGCUCAUCUUUCCAGGAUUAAAAAAAAAAUUAAACGUCUCCUGAAUUUUCUAGUGAUUUCACGAGAGUGGCACGAUCAAUUUAUGUAAAUGGGUAAAAAAAAAGUUCUUUUGCAUGUGAUAUUUAUCAAUCAAAGAGGGAAAAAAUAAAACAUUCAACAAAUUAUGGUGCUAAAACAAUCUUACCCGGUCGAUAUUUUUUUUGCUGGCAAUGAGUCUAAGGAAUACAAAAAAAAUGUUUAAAAACUAAACAAAUCCAAAUGGGAACCUUAUGAUUUAGACAUACAAUUGAUUAAAGUGUGUUAAAAAUAAACAAACAUUUACUAAUUUUG
rnacentral:misc_RNA from 1 species